GAUAUGUAUAGCAUAGUGGUUUGAGCUUUGGACUACAACUCUGGAGACCAGGGUUUGAUUCCCUACUCAAUCA